GGAGGGGUAGCCAAGUGGUUAAGGCGAGGCCCUGCUAAGGCCUGUCCUUUUUUAAAGGGACUCGUGGGUUCGAAUCCCACCCCCUCCGCAA
rnacentral:tRNA from 1 species